rnacentral:rRNA from 1 species
GAUGAACGCUGGCGGCGUGCCUAAUACAUGCAAGUCGAGCGAACGGACGAGAAGCUUGCUUCUCUGAUGUUAGCGGCGGACGGGUGAGUAGCACGUGGAUAACCUACCUAUAAGACUGGGAUAACUUCGGGAAACCGGAGCUAAUACCGGAUAAUAUUUUGAACCGCAUGGUUCAAAAGUGAAAGACGGUCUUGCUGUCACUUAUAGAUGGAUCCGCGCUGCAUUAGCUAGUUGGUAAGGUAACGGCUUACCAAGGCAACGAUGCAUAGCCGACCUGAGAGGGGGAUCGGCCACACUGGAAAUGAGACACGGUCCAGAAUCCUAAGGGAGGCAGCAGGAGGGAAUCUUCCGCAAUGGGCGAAAGCCUGACGGAGCAACGCCGCGUGAGUGAUGAAGGUCUUCGGAUCGUAAAACUCUGUUAUUAGGGAAGAACAUAUGUGUAAGUAACUGUGCACAUCUUGACGGUACCUAAUCAGAAAGCCACGGCUAACUACGUG